rnacentral:rRNA from 1 species
AUACGUAGGGAGCAAGCGUUGUCCGGAUUUACUGGGUGUAAAGGGUGCGUAGGCGGCUAUGCAAGUCAGUUGUGAAAACUAUGGGCUCAACCCAUAGCCUGCAAUUGAAACUGCGUGGCUUGAGUGAAGUAGAGGUAGGUGGAAUUCCCGGUGUAGCGGUGAAAUGCGUAGAGAUCGGGAGGAACACCAGUGGCGAAGGCGACCUACUGGGCUUUAACUGACGCUGAGGCACGAAAGCAUGGGUAGCAAACAGGAUUAGAUACCCUGGUAGUCCAUGCCGUAAACGAUGAUUACUAGGUGUGGGGGGUCUGACCCCCUCCGUGCCGGAGUUAACACAAUAAGUAAUCCACCUGGGGAGUACGACCGCAAGGUUGAA